rnacentral:rRNA from 1 species
CAGUUGGAAACGACUGCUAAUACCGCAUAAUGUCUACGGACCCAAAGGGGGCUUCGGCUCUCGCCUUUAGAUUGGCCCAAGUGGGAUUAGCUAGUUGGUGAGGUAAUGGCUCACCAAGGCGACGAUCCCUAGCUGGUUUGAGAGGAUGAUCAGCCACACUGGGACUGAGACACGGCCCAGACUCCUACGGGUAGGCAGCAGUGGGGAAUAUUGCACAAUGGGCGCAAGCCUGAUGCAGCCAUGCCGCGUGUGUGAAGAAGGCCUUCGGGUUGUAAAGCACUUUCAGUCAGGAGGAAAGGUUAGUAGUUUAAUACCUGCUAGCUGUGACGUUACUGACAGAAGAAGCACCGGCUAACUCCGUGCCAGCAGCCGCGGUAA